rnacentral:rRNA from 1 species
GGAUGGGCAUGCGUCGCAUUAGCUUGUUGGCGGGGUAACGGCCCACCUAACCGACGAUGCGUAGGGGUUCUGAGAGGAAGGUCCCCCACACUGGUACUGAGACACGGACCAGACUCAUACGGGAGGCAGCAGUGAGGAAUAUUGGUCAAUGGGCGGGAGCCUGAACCAGCCAAGCCGCGUGAAGGAAGAAGGCGCCAGGCGUCGUAAACUUCUUUUGUCGGGGAACAAAGGGCGCCACGCGUGGCGUUGUGAGUGUACCCGAAGAAAAAGCAUCGGCUAACUCCGUGCCAGCAGCCGCGGUAAUACGGAGGAUGCGAGCGUUAUCCGGAUUUAUUGGGUUUAAAGGGUGCGUAGGCGGUCCGGAAAGUCAGCGGUAAAAGCCCGGGGCUCAACCCCGGCGAGCCGUUGAAACUGUCGGACUAGAGAUGGCGAGAAGUACGCGGAAUGCGCGGUGUAGCGGUGAAAUGCAUAGAUAUCGCGCAGAACUCCGAUUGCGAAGGCAGCGUACCGGCGCCGGACUGACGCUGAGGCACGAAAGCGUGGGUAUCGAACAGGAUUAGAUACCCUGGUAGUCCACGCAGUAAACGAUGAAUGCCGGCUGUC